GAUAAAGUAUUAUAAGUUUUAAUAUGAUUAGUUUACACCUAAUUGAUAAAUUAGUUUCUUUAUUU
rnacentral:tRNA from 1 species